GAUGAACGCUAGCUACAGGCUUAACACAUGCCAGUCGAGGGGAAACGGCAUCGAAAGCUUGCUUUUGAUGGGCGUCGACCGGCGCACGGGUGAGUAACGCGUAUCCAACCUGCCCAUCACUUGGGAAUAACCUUGCGAAAGUAAGACUAAUGCCCAAUGACAUCCCACGAAGGCAUCCGAAUGGGAUUAAAGAUUUAUCGGUGAUGGAUGGGGAUGCGUCUGAUUAGCUUGUUGGCGGGGUGACGGCCCACCAAGGCAACGAUCAGUAGGGGUUCUGAGAGGAAGGUCCCCCACAUUGGAACUGAGACACGGCCCAAACUCCUACGGGAGGCAGCAGUGAGGAAUAUUGGUCAAUGGGCGAGAGCCUGAACCAGCCAAGUAGCGUGCAGGAUGACGGCCCUAUGGGUUGUAAACUGCUUUUAUAAGGGAAUAAAGUGGGUCACGUGUGACUUUUUGCAUGUACCUUAUGAAUAAGGACCGGCUAAUUCCGUG
rnacentral:rRNA from 1 species